UGGGGAAUUUUGGACAAUGGGCGAAAGCCUGAUCCAGCCAUGCCGCGUGCAGGAUGAAGGCCUCCGGGUUGUAAACUGCUUUUGUACGGAACGAAAAGACUCUGGUUAAUACCUGGGGUCCAUGACGGUACCGUAAGAAUAAGCACCGGCUAACUACGUGCCAGUAGCCGCGGUAAUACGUAGGGUGCAAGCGUUAAUCGGAAUUACUGGGCGUAAAGCGUGCGCAGGCGGUUAUAUAAGACAGAUGUGAAAUCCCCGGGCUCAACCUGGGAACUGCAUUUGUGACUGUAUAGCUAGAGUACGGCAGAGGGGGAUGGAAUCCCGCGUGUAGCAGUGAAAUGCGUAGAUAUGCGGAGGAACACCGAUGGCGAAGGCAAUCCCCUGGGCCUGUACUGACGCUCAUGCACGAAAGCGUGGGGAGCAAACAGGAUUAGAUACCCUGGUAGUCCACGCCCUAAACGAUGUCAACUGGGUUGUUGGGUCUUCACUGACUCAGUAACGAAGCUAACGCGUGAAGUUGACCGCCUGGGGAGUACGGCCGCAAGGUUGAAACUCAAAUGAAUUGACGGGGGUCAUAGCU
rnacentral:rRNA from 1 species